CAGGCGUCUACAAUGUCAAGCAAUCCCAGCAACUACUCAUGCGAGACCGCCGCGGAGACCCUGAGAUGGAUCAACGCCAUCGCCGACUUCGUAAAACCUUUCUCCUUCUUGACCAACGCUCACGUCGUCAAUUUCUUCAACGAUACACUCUGGGAGGCCAUCGAUAAGGAUUGGAUGGACUGCUUACGCCAGGAACCACUCCCAAAUCUCCUCCAAAUCCCCAGUGGGCUGGUCCAGGAUCACUGGCCGGCUUCGCUGAGAGAAUUCAUUGUCACUUUGCGGUCUCUUUCGCUUCCACGGCAGCGGGCUGACUUGCCGGCGGUAUUACCUGGAAUGAGCAUGACUUCACUCAAUAGUGUUCUUUCGACUGGCAUGAAUUCCAAGAAAAAACAUGAAGUAGAAGUUCUUUCGGCUGUUGUCAGUUCAGUUGCAAACAGCAUCAGUGCUGAUGCGAUAAUUGAUGUUGGUGCUGGUCAGGGCUAUCUUGCACAAGUACUUUCCUUCCACUACCAGCAUUCGGUAAUUGCGAUUGAUUCAUGCUCUCACCAUGGAAAUGUUACCAAUGCACGUGCAGAGCAAAUAAAAAAACAUUAUGCUGCCCAGAUGCGUAAAUCUGUAGCAGGAAACAAGAUCUUGAAUGUGCCUAAGACAAUCACUUGCAAUGUGAUGUCUAUUGACAUGUUGAAAGCUUUGACUGAUACAUCACUGCAUAAAGAUAAUGCCUCUCCACCACAAUCUGAAUGCAAUGCAGGUGGUGUAACUUCAUUGGUUCUUGCCGGGCUUCAUGCUUGUGGAGAUCUUUCAGUAACGAUGCUCAAGACCUUUAUGGAGUGCGAAGAGGUCAAAGCAGUUAUUAGCGUUGGCUGCUGUUACAAUCUCUUGUCUGAAGAGGGUCUUAAUCAUGUGGGGUCUCAAUGUGGUUUUCCCAUGAGUCGUGGUGUUAAAUCUGCUGGUUUGUCACUUGGAAAAAGUUCGCGUGACCUUGCUUGUCAGAGUGCAGAGAGAUGGAGUUGUCUGGAAAAUGAUGCUGGUCUCCAGAAUUUUGAAUUGCAUACUUUCCGUGCUGCUUUUCAAAUGGUUUUGAGUGUUCAUUAUCCUGAAGUCGUGAUAACUAGUCCAUCCAUUGGGCGCCAAGGGAAGGCUUUGCGUCGCCAGCAACAUAGGGGCACAUCACACUCGUUGAAUCCGAAGGAAAGCACAUGUCCAUCCUUGCCUCAGUUAUCUUGUAAUAUUAAAAAAUGUGGCUCACAUCUAAACACCACAAAAGUGGAACAAGAUGGCAAUUUUGAGAUGGAUCUAGAGAUGAAUGCCAUAGGCAAUGGAGAUUCAUCUAGUAAGGUCACCAAAUGUGAAGGGACUCCAUUCAUUAGCAAAUAUCCACUUUUUGAGAAAUAUUGUCUCUCUGGAUUCUGUCGCCUGGGUCUUCAGCCUCCAAAGGAGACAGAUCUACGUGGAAUAUGGAAUAGAAUUCAGCCUUUUGCUGAACUUAUUGGACCGUAUUGGACUCUUCGAGCUGCUCUUGGGCCUCUUUUGGAAACUUUACUUUUGCUUGAUAGAUUAUUGUUCCUUCAAGAGAAAGGCAGUUCAGUUGAAGUAGUCAUGUUACCUAUCUUUGAUCCUGCAUUAUCUCCAAGGAAUGUGGCCAUUAUUGCUAAAAAGUUGACACAAAUUUGACACUGGCACAAAAUAUGAAACAUGUUGUACGACUACAAAUAUUUCUCCUGCAAUGAAAAGAUUAGGCGAAGAUUAGGCGAUAUUUUUCCGGAGGGUUUACCUACUGUAUACAUCAUCCUACUUUAUAGAGUCUCCUAGGGCAUGCUGGAAUGAGAAAGACUGACACUAAUUACGAUUUGGAGCUGUGCGGAAGCCCAAAAUCAGCACGGCUAGUUUGAGUGGAAUAAGCGGAGCUUGAUUGUCUUUUCAGUUGGUGUUGCUGUAGUAAGACUGUGGAGGUUUGUGAGAGGGGACAUAUGCAUGUUUGACUGAUUUUUGUCGUUUACUGGAAAUAGUAGGACACCUAAUUCACUUCAGGUUUCUUUGGACUGUGUGGUCACAAGUUCAUAACCCACUAGAGAACAGGAAUGGGGACUUUCUGAUAAUGCUUUCUUUGGUUUUUUGGUAUGAGAAAAAAACGACAAGGAAAUUGCCGUCUCUGUAGUUUGAUCCAUUUAGCUUGGGUUGUACACAAUUGAAUGAUUGAUCUCAUCUUAUUGUGUGGAAGGAAAGUUAGUUACUUCUGCUGAACUCAACUUUUUUGUGAAAUUGAAGUGAACUUAACGUUUGCUUUAUAGA